GAUGAGAACGUAGCGAAAUGCGAUACUUGGUGUGAAUUGCAGAAUCCCGUGAACCAUCGAGUCUUUGAACGCAAGUUGCGCCCGAAGCCAUUAGGCCGAGGGCACGCCUGCCUGGGCGUCACACGUCGUUGCCCCCCCAUCUACUCCUUCGGGAUUGCGGGGGGCGGAUGAUGGCCUCCCGUGCGCCUCGCCGCGCGGUUGGCAUAAAUGCCAAGUCCUCGGCGACGCACGCCACGACAAUCGGUGGUUGCGAAACCUCGGUUGCCCGUCGUGUGCGGUCGUCGCGCAUCGAGGGCUCGAAAAAAUUGCCGGGUUCCGGCUCGGCUUUCAACGCGACCCCAGGUCAGGCGGGGUUACCCGCUGAAUUUAAGCAUAUCAAUAAGCGGAGGA
rnacentral:misc_RNA from 1 species